UCCGACCUCAGAUCGGACGAGAUUACCCGCUGAAUUUAAGCAUAUAACUAAGCGGAGGAAAAGAAACUAACAAGGAUUCCCCCAGUAACGGCGAGUGAAGCGGGAAUAGCCCAGCACCGAAUCCCUCAGUGUCAUGCUGACGGGAACUGUGGUGUGUGGGACGCCAUCAGUCGCAUCAGAGGGCGCCGAAGUCCUCCUGAUCGGGGCUUCACCCAGAGCGGGUGUAAGGCCUUUGCGGGUGCCUCUCUGUGCGGCCGCGAGCGUCUCAGGAGUCGGGUUGUUUGGGAAUGCAGCCCAAAGCGGGUGGUAAACUCC
rnacentral:rRNA from 4 species